UCUAGGCUUUAUCACAGAAAAAUAUGUUAUUGCAAGAGGCUAACCAAAACUCUUGACAUCUCAUCUUUCUCAGCUCACUGCUAUGAUGUAUCUUUGAUAACAGUUGCUUACUUGAAACUACUAUUUUUCAAAUGAUCUGAGUUUGUGCCGAAACACUAAAGCCUGGAAAGCACCCAAAACCAACAUUGCUGCCUGAGACCUGCAUCAGACUCAGCAUGCCAUCUUCAGCUGCCUGGCUCAUGGCUCUACUGCUCAACUUGAUGCUUGCCAUCUCAACCGUUUUCAUUGGAUCCUGCCUCUCCGGUAAGAACAUUUUUUUUGUCUGUCCGGGUUUUGAUUUUGUUUUGUUUGUGUUGUUUGUUGAGUUCUCAAGAGAGAAGCCUCUAGGCUUACGACUGAAGAAAAGCUGUAGCUUCCUGGGCUGUGAAGAGAUUCAAACCAGACCAAGCAAGCAUCCUUUCUGGUGUCUAUGCCAACCCAUUGGUCUUGUGUGGGUGGAUUUCCACCUCCAGAGUCUAGAUGGGUUCAGGGUGAUUUUCCUGCGAAGGGUCCUCUGUGGCCCUAGAGCUUCAUGCAACAUUCAAACAGGAUAGACAGGUCCUCACAUCAGACCCCUUUGUGGCCUUGCCCAGGAGAGAGAGUCCUUUUCUCCUUCCUGGUUCCCGCAGUCCAGCCCCCACUAGCUGCCUCCCC